CCCGUCCUGCCUCACCGCAAGCGUGGCCACUUGAGUGCUCUGAACCAGGGGUCCCCGGCCCCCGGGCCAGCGGUCCGCGUUCUGUAGGGAACUAGGCUGCACAGCUGGAGAAACCGGUCUCUGGUGCCAGAAAGGUUGCGGACCGCUGCUCUAAACCAUCAAGAGCUUCACGUUGGUGCCAGACAAGACCCAGCCGAGAAACCCAGUCAUGUUUGCCUUGGAAAACUCCUGUCUCCAUUGAUGUCUUAUGGAAACAGAAUCAUCCCACGUGGGAACGGAAAGAAGGCAUCCAGGGCAUCCGCUCGGAUUACACAUCAGGAAAGGGAAACCAGGCAGAAGGCACGGCUGGCCCC